CCUACGGGAGGCAGCAGUGAGGAAUAUUGGUCAAUGGACGAGAGUCUGAACCAGCCAAGUAGCGUGAAGGAUGACUGCCCUAUGGGUUGUAAACUUCUUUUAUAUGGGAAUAAAAUGUUCCACGUGUGGGAUUUUGUAUGUACCAUAUGAAUAAGGAUCGGCUAACUCCGUGCCAGCAGCCGCGGUAAUACGGAGGAUCCGAGCGUUAUCCGGAUUUAUUGGGUUUAAAGGGAGCAUAGGUGGAUUGUUAAGUCAGUUGUGAAAGUUUGCGGCUCAACCGGAAAAUUGCAGUUGAAACUGGCAGUCGUGAGUGCAGUAGAGGUGGGCGGAAUUCGUGGUGUAGCGGUGAAAUGCUUAGAUAUCACGAAGAACUCCGAUUGCGAAGGCAGCUCACUGGACUGCAACUGACACUGAGGCUCGAAAGUGUGGGUAUCAAACAGGAUUAGAUACCCCGGUAGUC
rnacentral:rRNA from 1 species